rnacentral:lncRNA from 1 species
AAACAAAAAAAAAAAAAAUCUCAAAUAAUAAAACCAAAACUUCUGAAUCAAGUAGCGGGAUUCACCUUCUAGAAAGAAACUCCACGUUAAUGCUUCCUUCUCCUUCUCCUCCUUCUUCUUCUUCCAUCAUCACUCUAUUAAUUACUAAAACUGCCAUCAUCAUCCAUCCAUGUGCUCUCAACCACUUGCUCCUAUAUAUACGGCUUCUUCCACAACAAGACAAAAAAAAAUUAAAACUCCAUUAAAGCUUAUACACACCAAAACCUCUCUCUCUCUCUUUCUCUUAAACGCUCUUUUCAUUUGUCAACUGUAAAAUGGAGAGAGACGAUGAUUCUUAUAACGCUUACACGGCGUCGUUUUCGCCUAGCUUCAGUACUUAUUCAGGUGAUCGUCUUUCAGAGAUCGCCGAACGAGUUUGUUACAGAGAGAAAUCAGACGAAGAAUUCGAGUUUUCCACAACCGCCGCACCGCCGCCUACGUCAUCUUCUUCCGGCGAA